rnacentral:rRNA from 1 species
CCCUUAGAUGUUCUGGGCCGCACGCGCGCUACACUGAUGCAUGCAACGAGUUCUAUCCUUGGCCGGAAGGCCUGGGUAAUCUGUGAACGUGCAUCGUGAUAGGGAUAGAUUAUUGCAAUUAUUAAUCUUGAACGAGGAAUUCCUAGUAAACGCAAGCCAUCAGCUUGCAUUGAUUACGUCCCUGCCCUUUGUACACACCGCCCGUCGCACCUACCGAUCGAAGGUAAUGAUGAGCCCUCAGGAUUGUGGCCUCGUCGCGUCAGCGUCUUGGCUGCGAGAAUCUGUGCAAAUCCCUACCUUUAGAGGAAGGUGAAGUCGUANCA